AUACGUAGGGAGCGAGCGUUGUCCGGAAUUACUGGGUGUAAAGGGAGCGUAGGCGGGUCAGCAAGUCCGUUGUUAAAUCUAUCGGCUCAACCGGUAGCUGCGGCGGAAACUGUUGGUCUUGAGUGAAGUAGAGGCAGGCGGAAUUCCUAGUGUAGCGGUGAAAUGCGUAGAUAUUAGGAGGAACACCAGUGGCGAAGGCGGCCUGCUGGGCUUUUACUGACGCUGAGGCUCGAAAGUGUGGGGAGC
rnacentral:rRNA from 1 species